CAUAUGUAUAGAACUGAGAAUGAGAAAUAGAUGUUGGCAGGUCAUAUAUAUAGAACUGAGAAUGAGAAAUUGAUGUUGGCAGGUCAUAUGUAUAGAACUGAGAAUGAGAAAUAGAUGUUGGCAGGUCAUAUGUAUAGAACUGAGAAUGAGAAAUUGAUGUUGGCAGGUCAUAUAUAUAGAACUGAAAAUGAGAAAUUGAUGUUGGCAGGUCAUAUGUAUAGAACUGAGAAUGAGAAAUAGACUUCGGCAGGUCAUAUGUAUAGAACUGAGAAUGAGAAAUAGAUGUUGGCAGGUCAUAUGUAUAGAACUGAGAAUGAGAAAUAGAUGUUGGCAGGUCAUAUGUAUAGAACUGAGAAUGAGAAAUUGAUGUUGGCAGGUCAUAUGUAUAGAACUGAGAAUGAGAAAUAGAUGUUGGCAGGUCAUAUGUAUAGAACUGAGAAUGAGAAAUAGAUGUUGGCAGGUCAUAUGUAUAGAACUGAGAAUGAGAAAUAGAUGUUGGCAGGUCAUAUGUAUAGAACUGAGAAUGAGAAAUAGAUGUUGGCAGGUCAUAUGUAUAGAACUGAGAAUGAGAAAUUGAUGUUGGCAGGUCAUAUGUAUAGAACUGAGAAUAAGAAAUUAACGCUGGCAGGUCUCAUGUAUAGAACUGAUAAAAGAUGGUCAAAUAAAGUAACUGAGUGAUAACCUAGAAAUUUCAGAAGUGAGGGCAGACAGAGGACCAGGUGGACAGAUGUAACUAGAUCUAAUGCCUUCGCCAGAGUAGAAUGGAGUACAGACACUAACGUCCAAGAGGUAGAGACUGCUGAGAAAGGCUUGAGUGUCUUGCAAUAGGCUGGUUAUGACUGAAGAUGAUGAUACACUAUACCCUCUCACAAAGAAAAUGAUGGUGAUUUAGCCUGGCUUCUGAAUAUUUGAUGACACACACACACACACACACACACACACACACACACUUAGCUACUCAGGUACGCAUGUCACUUGAUUACCAGACUUGACUCUCCCAUAAAAAGAGAAAACAGCCUGGGGGAAGGUGAGCUAACUACUGCCAAUACUACUACUACUACUUCUACUCUCCCUUUCACUCACACAUCCAAGGACUAAGACACACCUGAGUUAGAUUUUCUCCUAUUCUAAACAAAUAAAUGAAUCCAAAUUACAAGUACAGCUUAUGAAAUUCUCUCUACAAUAUAAUUUAAAGAACAAGCAAAUAUAAGUAAUGAGGAUAAUUGUAAAGGCUGCAUUGGAUUGCUUCUUGCUCAAAAUAUGUGAUUAGUGAACCCAAAAUGCAAAUAUACUGCUUUAGACAUGAUCUUUGAUCAAGUUAAAAGGGCAAGGUAAUAAAAAAAGGUUGAUUUGGAGUCAAAAUAAAAUCGGGUUCAAUAACAUCUUGCUUAAUAUUUUCAUAUUUUGCUGGAUUAAUGAACCCGAGAUGAGAAUAUGACCAGCUUUUGAAAUCAUCUGAGGAACAAAAUAAAAAAAGGUUAAGUUAGGGUCAGAGCUGAGAAAAAAUAUGACUUCUUGCUUAGUACUGCGCAGGAUAAUAAUGAACCAAAGAUGAUAAUAAAAAAAAAACUUGAAACCAUCUUACAAACACCACCAGCACAGGACAAAAUGAUACAAAAAAAGAAAGGGAAAGUAAAGGUCAAGGAGUCAAUGGGCACAAUAUGACAUCUUCCUUAUUAAUCUAUCUAGUAUAUUAAUGAACCAAAGAUGACAACAUAACCACCUCUCAAAACCAUCUUCCAAACACCACCAGUAAAGGACAAAAUGAUACAAAAGAAAGGGAAAGUGAGGGUCAAGCAAGGAGUCAGUGGGUACAAUAUGACAUCUUCCUUGUUAAUCUAUCUAUAUUAAUGAACCAAAGAUGACAACAUAUCCAUCUCUCAAAACCAUCUUACAAACACCACCAGUAAAGGAAAAAUGAUACAAAAAAAAGGGA